CUGGUUUUCACAAUGAUUUUGCAGAAUGUGUAAGACUUCUGAGAUCAUUGUGAAAACUGGUU
rnacentral:pre_miRNA from 1 species